rnacentral:lncRNA from 10 species
GCAGCUCGCUGGAGUUGGAGAUGUCCCCGGCCAGAGAGUCCGCGAACAAGUUCAUCUGCAGCAGCGUUUUCAGCAGAUGUUCACCAGGUACCCACUGUGGGCCAGACAUAGUUCUGGAUGUGCAAGCUACCAGGAAUGAGAAAAAUCUGAGCACUUUGCAGGCAUAAUCUCAUGUAAUGCUCAUAGGAACGCUGCGAGAGUUUCUCUGGCUGCUGUGCUAAGAACAGACUGAAGAGAAACCUGAAGGGAGGAAGCAGGGGAAGCAGCUGGGAAGCUUUGGCAAGCUUUUGCAAUACACACUGAAACAGGAAGAAAGACGAUGAGCUAAGAACGAAGAUUGGAGAAAGAGAUUUUCAGUUUGAGGUGGCCAAAGGCAUAACAUAGUUCUAUAGGAGAGUGAGAGAAUGAAUUAAUACGAGAAACGAAAUGGUUGCUGAGCCACAUUAAGAGCUCACUUGAAAUCUGUGGUCACAUCUAAUUGAAAGGAAGACCAGUUGGCAUAGUUUUGUGGGUUUUUUCUAGCCAUAAGCAGUUACAUGGUGCAGGUGUGACAUAGGGAGACAGCUGGAUUUAAACAGGAUUGUGGUUUUGCCAAAUGGAUACUACAAAGAAAGGAAGGAACCAGUGAGCUGAGAAGUAAUAGCCCUCACUUACAAGGGCUGAGGGGGAAAUGAGACAGCCAAGUUUGAGUAAGAGCCAGAAAGUGUAAAGAAUGAUCAGAUAAGAGAUUGAGGACAUAGGGAUUUUUUUUUUUUUAAUCGCCUACCCUGAAUACCAGAGGAUUUUGGAAGGGGUGAGUAACAGAGUUGGAAAAGAGAAUUUACAGAGUCUCUUGGUUACUAAAUUCCAGAACAUUUAGAGUGUCCUCAGAUUCUUGGGCUUCUCAUGGUGAGUCUCUUCAAUGGGUAAAAGGGCAUGAUGAGAUUGCUACUGGUGGUUCCAAGUUAUAUAGUGUGACAAGGCUGUCAGUGUUAGAUAGGAGUGGGUUUGGGGAUGGGAGCCCUUCCAUGCAGAUGAGAGGAAACAGCAUCAGUGAUCUUUCAUUGUGUUUAGCAGUACCAGGCUCCAUGCAAAGUACCCUUCAUGAAUUACCUUAUUUAUGCCUCAUUCUUUCCCAUGAGGUAGGCAUUAUGUCCCCACUGGGCAACAAAUGUGACACAGACUACCUUCAGUGUUACAGUGGCCCAGGGUGGGCUGCACCAUGGAAGGGAGGAAACACUAUUGCAUCAUUUCUUCCAAUACUUCUUUUUUGAACAACUGAUUUUCCUUUCUUAAAAAUCACAAGACCAUCACUUCUUUCUCGGUAAGAAAACAAAGACAAACAACAACAAAACAAAAAACCAGCAUUCAGUCUAGCCAGUACUAAACCAGUUGCAUAUUUGUUUCAGCCCUUUUUCGAAUUAACAAAUGUAGGGCUAUUUAAAAAAACAUUUUAAUAAGCUUUAUUUCUUAGAGCAGUUUUGAAUUCAUAGAAAAAUUGAGCAGCAGUAGAGUCCCUCCCCGACACCCCCCACCCGGCACCCCACAGUUUCCCCUAUUAUUAACAUCUUGCUUUAGUGUAUAGUACCUUUGUUACAAUUGAUGAACUAAUAUUGAUACAUUAGUAUUAACUAAGAUCCAUCAUUUACAUUAGGGUUCACUUUUUGGGUUGUAUAGUUCUAUGCUAUGGGGUUUAACAAAUGCAUAAUGUUACAUAUCCGCCAUUACAGUAUCAUACAGAAGAGUUUUACUGUCCUAAAAUUCCCGUGCUCUAUCCCUUAAUCCCUCUCCUCCUCCCCCAUGGUAACCACUGGUCUUUUUACUGUCCUUAUAGUUUUACCUCUUCCGGAAUGUCAUCUAGCAGGAAACAUAGUCUUUCAGACUGGCUUCUCUCACUUAGGAAUAUGUAUUUAAGUUUCUCUCAUGUUUUCUCACGGCUUGUUAGUUCAUUUCUUUUUACCAAAUACUAUUCCAUUGUGUGAGUAUACCACAGUUUGUUUAUCCACUCUUCUAUUAAGGGACAUCUUCCUUCCUUUCUGGUUUUGGUAACUACGAGUAAAGUUGUUUUGAAAAUUCAUGUUCAAGUUUUUGUGUGGACAUAAGCACUAUUGCUGGAUCACGUGGUAAGACCAUGUUAGCUUUGUGACUGUACAUUUUGCAUUUCUACCAGCCAUGAAUGAGAGCUCCUGUUGCUCCACAUCCUCGCCAGCAUUGGGUGUUGUCAGUGCAAAAUGAGUAAAAUGUAAAGCGUUGGGUGUUGUCAGCGUUGGGUGUUGUCAAAUGCAAAAUGAGUAAAAUGUUUUGCAUUUUACUCAUUUUAAUAGGCGUAUAGUGGUAAUUCAUUGUUGUUUCAGUAUACCAAUCCCUAAUGACAUCUUU